AUAAGACCUGGUCUUCUCCUAGAAGUGAUGCUGGAAGGAGGAGUUGCCUCUUCUGAAGAGUUUAGGCUGGAUAGCUGUCCUGGAGAAUCUGAAGGAACAAAUCAAAAAGGCGCCAGAGCGUAUGCAAAUGAGGGUUCCUUCCUAAAGGACUCUCUAAGAGAAACUUGUUUGUAUUCCAUAGAAGUAAACCCAUGAAGAUAGCCAAACAUCUAGAUUGUUCAUUGGAAUUCGGACACGUAUAAAUCUACAGGCAAUAUCCUCGCCAUUUGUGAAAGACUUUAGAAGUGCUGCCAUUCGAAAUUCAGCUAAAGAGAAAGCUAAUUUGGGCUAGAAUACGCAAAGCUUCGUCAGAAAUCGUCGAACAUGAAUGUAACUUUA